UACGGGAAGGCAGCAGUGGGGAAUAUUGCACAAUGGGCGAAAGCCUGAUGCAGCUAUGCCGCGUGUAUGAAGAAGGCCUUAGGGUUGUAAAGUACUUUCAUCGGGGAGGAAAAAACAAAACUAAUAAUUUUAUUUCUUGACGUUACCCGAAAAAGAAGCACCGGCUAACUCCGUGCCAGCAGCCGCGGUAAUACGGAGGGUGCUAGCGUUAAUCAGAAUUACUGGGCGUAAAGAGCACGUAGGUGGUUUUUUUAAAGUCAGAUGUGAAAUCCCUGGGCUUAACCUAGGAACUGCAUUUUGAAACUGAAAUACUAGAGUAUCGUAGAGGGAGGUAGAAUUCUAGGUGUAGCGGUGAAAUGCGUAGAUAUCUGGAGGAAUACCUGCGGCGAAAGCGGCCUCCUAAACGAAUACUGACACUGAGGUGCGAAAGCGUGGGGAGCAAACAGGGAUUAGAUACC
rnacentral:rRNA from 1 species